GACCAUCCUCCAAGGCUAAAUACUCCUGACUGACCGAUAGUGAACCAGUACCGUGAGGGAAAGGCGAAAAGAACCCCUGUGAGGGGAGUGAAAUAGAACCUGAAACCGUGUACGUACAAGCAGUAGGAGCACCUUCGUGGUGUGACUGCGUACCUUUUGUAUAAUGGGUCAGCGACUUAUAUUCAGUGGCAAGGUUAACCGUAUAGGGGAGCCGUAGCGAAAGCGAGUCUUAACUGGGCGCUCAGUCUCUGGAUAUAGACCCGAAACCGGGUGAUCUAGCCAUGGGCAGGUUGAAGGUUGAGUAACAUCAACUGGAGGACCGAACCGACUAAUGUUGAAAAAUUAGCGGAUGACUUGUGGCUAGGGGUGAAAGGCCAAUCAAACUCGGAGAUAGCUGGUUCUCCCCGAAAGCUAUUUAGGUAGCGCCUCGGACGAAUACUACUGGGGGUAGAGCACUGUUAAGGCUAGGGGGUCAUCCCGACUUACCAACCCUUUGCAAACUCCGAAUACCAGUAAGUACUAUCCGGGAGACACACGGCGGGUGCUAACGUCCGUCGUGGAGAGGGAAACAACCCAGACCGCCAGCUAAGGUCCCAAAGUAUUGCUAAGUGGGAAACGAUGUGGGAAGGCUCAGACAGCUAGGAUGUUGGCUUAGAAGCAGCCAUCAUUUAAAGAAAGCGUAAUAGCUCACUAGUCGAGUCGGCCUGCGCGGAAGAUGUAACGGGGCUAAGCAAUACACCGAAGCUGCGGCAAUGUCUUUUAGACAUUGGGUAGGGGAGCGUUCUGUAAGCCGUUGAAGGUGAAUCGUAAGGUUUGCUGGAGGUAUCAGAAGUGCGAAUGCUGACAUGAGUAACGACAAAGGGGGUGAAAAACCUCCUCGCCGGAAGACCAAGGGUUCCUGUCCAACGUUAAUCGGGGCAGGGUGAGUCGACCCCUAAGGUGAGGCCGAAAGGCGUAAUCGAUGGGAAACGGGUUAAUAUUCCCGUACUUCUGACUAUUGCGAUGGGGGGACGGAGAAGGCUAGGUGGGCCAGGCGACGGUUGUCCUGGUUCAAGUGCGUAGGCUUGAGAGUUAGGUAAAUCCGGCUCUCUCUAAGGCUGAGACACGACGUCGAGCUACUACGGUAGUGAAGUCAUUGAUGCCAUGCUUCCAGGAAAAGCCUCUAAGCUUCAGAUAGUCAGGAAUCGUACCCCAAACCGACACAGGUGGUCGGGUAGAGAAUACCAAGGCGCUUGAGAGAACUCGGGUGAAGGAACUAGGCAAAAUGGUACCGUAACUUCGGGAGAAGGUACGCUCUUGAUGGUGAAGUCCCUCGCGGAUGGAGCUGACGAGAGUCGCAGAUACCAGGUGGCUGCAACUGUUUAUUAAAAACACAGCACUGUGCAAAAUCGCAAGAUGACGUAUACGGUGUGACGCCUGCCCGGUGCCGGAAGGUUAAUUGAUGGGGUUAGCGCAAGCGAAGCUCUUGAUCGAA
rnacentral:rRNA from 1 species